GGUUUAUAAAUGGUUAUAGAAAAUUUUGAAAAUUUUCUUAAAGUGUUCAAUUCACUUGUAAACUU
rnacentral:tRNA from 1 species